GAGAGUUCAAGAGUACGUGAAACCGCAUAGAGCCAAACGGGUGGAUCCGCAGAGUCGACCCGGGGAAUUCAGCCCGGCCGCAAGCGGCGCUCGCAAAGUUCGGAUCCGCAAGGACCGGGCCAGCGGGACGUCCGCGUGGCUGUGGUGCACUUUCUCCGCGGUCGAGUGCUACGACCGGUUUCGAGGCGGUCAGAAGCCCGGCGGAAAGGUAGCGCCGCCCUUCGGGGUGUCGUGUUAUAGGCCGCCGCGGUGGACUCGCCGCGAGACCGAGGACGCUUGCCGCGCCGAGCGGUCCCGGGCCGUCUUGGGAGGUUCGACCUCGGCUGCACUGCUCCGCAGAGCACCGUAACCGCCGCCCUAGCACGGGUCCGGAGACUGCCGGCGCCUCGGGUCAGUAGCGAAUCGGUCGGUCCUCCACCCGACCCGUCUUGAAACACGGACCAAGGAGUCUAACA
rnacentral:rRNA from 1 species